UGGCACGAAUCCAGCAUAAAUAGUAGAUAGAUUGACAAUGAAACCAAACACAGGGAAAAUUCAGCAUAAAGAGUGCGCAUUUCUAGGCUACGGAUAAACAGAGGCCAUGGACCGCGGGACUCCAGUGAAUGUCUUGUAACGCUUCGAUCACACCGAAAGGCCUUUGCGCAAAAUGGUAUGCAGCAUCAUCUGGAUAUGUAUGUAACAAAAGUUCAACUUCUGCUACCAUUUCUGUCAAGCCGUCUACGCAUAAAGUUUGACGCAUACAUUCGAUAAAUCCAACGUAUGCACCACACAGAACGCACAGCAACUGCAAUGGUGCAAGGUAAACGCAGUGUUUCAUUGGAAAUUAAUGUAAUUCUGGUGUACCAAAAUGCCGUAACACUGUAGGUGUGUUGGAAGGGUGACGCAGCGAAUUGCUCAAAAUAGGCUACAAGCUUCUGAGAGUUUGCUAUUGGACCCUUUGCUGUUCGGACUCUGAUGGUGAACAGUGGUGACAAUGCCUACCAAUGGAUGCAAAGGGGCUCGUAUCAUCAACUGGCUGGCACUAAUGUAUUCCAACCCUAGUCUGUCGUCUUAAUAAUGUGUUGUUUUUUGUGGGGGAGUAUGACAUUGUGUGUGUGGGUGUGUGACACUGUAUGCGACAGUGUGUGUGUAUGUGUGAUUGUGCUUUUGAUUGUGAUGUGUGUGACACUGUGUGUGUCUGUGUGUGCUUAGUGGCUGAGAUGACCUCAUCAUUGAGUAUAGCCUGUCUGCCUCUCUCUAGUCUACUGUGAGGUCUCCAGCAGCUUGUCCCUCAGGCUCGGAUCUUAAUUCAGAGAAUGUGUAAUACACCCAGGUAAGCAGGUUUAAUCUGCGUUGAGCUUGCAUACAGAGCAGACAGAAUUUGAUUUGAUUUGAUGUGUAUCUACCCGCUUUACAUCAAACAGCACAUUUCAACAGCCUCAAUAUGAGUUUUGACAUGUUUUUUUUCUCUUUUCUUUUCUUUUAAACUUAAAUCUCGCUCACAUCCGAACUGGUUCAAACAAAUGUCCCUCAGUCACCUUAUUGGCCCGGCUUCCUGGAAAAACAUCAUAGCUUUAAAGCUCAAUAUGGCAUUGUUAUGGUUUCGUACCCUCUGUCACAAAUUCCAGACAGAAGUGAAUUUCCUAUUCUCUGUCAAUAACACCCAGAGUAUCACCUCUGAAAAUGAGGAAGCAUGAUUCAAUAAACCUGUCACUUAUUUAUUUCACUUUGACCCCGUGUUACCCUUGUUAGUCCAGGGGAGUUGGAUUACCGUUGCUUUUCCACCAUGUAUGUAACUUUUACAGCCUUCCCAAGAAACAGAAACACAUCAGACUGGCUACAUCAGUUCCUCUUUGGCCCACACUGUCCACAGACCCCAGUCAUUGUGCAGCUGUUUUCAAGCCCCUCUCAGAAUCACACGCUGGUAAAGAAGUCGCCUGUGCUGGACAUUUUUAAUGUUUGUGCUUUUCUAUUAACUCAUUUCUGUGUUCUAUUCAUGUGCUUUUCUAAUAACUAUUGUCUAUGUUCAAGCAAGUGACAGACUGAACAAAUCCUCACAAUCAGUAGUUGCAAUUUGGCUGUACGCCCAGAACUUUGUUUUGAGAACGAAAGAUAUCUCAGUUUCAAGGUCUCGGCUUAGAGAGAAGAAGCCUUGUGAGGAAUUGGUCACAUGUUAUGAGCCAGUAUUGGUCGGUCACAUGAAUGAAACAAAACUUUAAUGAUGAAUUAAUUAUGCUAAAUCAUGCAAAUAUAAAUUGUCUGUGUAUUGCCAUAUACAGUAUAAGACAACUGCUGGGACUGCCACAGCAAAGCUCCUGAUUGACAUCUGUACUAUGGUGCAUUGAGUUGGUUGGAACCUCUUCAGCACGCUGAUAGUAAUAAAGAAUCAUUAAUUUAAGAUUGACUUUGAGUGUAGCUGGUUGUAAUUUCCAUGACACGCUGUGUAUAUAUAUAUAUACAUAUAUAUACAGUGCCUUGCGAAAGUUUUCGACCCCCUUGAACUUUGCCCAAUUUUUCAGUUUUUGAUUUGUUAAAAAAGUUUGAAAUAUCCAAUAAAUGUCGUUCCACUUCA